AAGGUCGGUGGUGAUUGGUUCUGUACCUGUUUAAACAUAGUUUAAGCAUGGUAUCAAAGCAGUCAAGGAGCCUGUCGAGCUCUUGAUUAGAAAUGAAUUUGGUAUGCACACAAAGGGCCAUGUCAAAGAAAAAACUUAAUAAAUAAGUUUGUUGUCUCUAAUAGCUUAAACUUUUAUAUAAGAUGGUGAACCGUUACCUAGGGUACCAAUAGCAAGGAAUCCAUGGAAAAGUUCAGUUAGAGCAGCAGAUGAUUCUUCUUCGAGCUCCUCUACUUCCACUCUUGCUGCCUCUAAACUGGCAAAUGAGUUUCUGAAGCAGUUCUCUCUUUGAGAUUUGCUAUUGGAUGGUGGCUUCCCUGUAAGAUAAUAAGGCAAGAAAGACAUAAGAUUUAAUAACUAGGAUGGUGUUGAGAGAUUUCCAUGGGCAGCGGGGGACAAAAAGACUCAUUCUUUAGGUGAGCUUAAUGAAAUGAAAAAUUCCCCAUAGGAGCUGAGCUACCCUCUGUAAGCAACUCUCCCGUGUCCCAGAUGAGAAGUAAAGUACAAUGAUGCUACAUGUACGCUCUCAUUCACACUCUUCCACACGAAAUGUAAAUUCUUGAUUUUAAUCUUAUCCGUUACAUCACUGUAUAGAUUUCCUUCACACAGGGGGAAUGUCAUCCAAGUGGUGAGGAUGUACUUAUAGCAUUAUUAAGUAAGGGUAGACCUGGUUUGCCUUGCUUGGCAGCCAGGCAAAAGACUCAUUCUUCGAGUGAGUUUUACUACCAAAAGUGGUUGACAGUGAUCCACCAACAAGCAUCUGAGAAUGAUUUGAACUUUGUACAAAACUCACCGUUAGAAAAAUCCUUCGGUAUUGAUUCACUAUUAUUCUGCCGGAAUUCACGAUGCAGCCAACCUAGUAACUGCAAAAAAUACAGAUAAUUAAGCAAUUGGGCUUCAUCGAAUUGAAUAAUUAGAGCAAGAAUACAAAGAGAAGAAAAUUUUAAUGUAUUAAACUAACCUUCAUCUUUUUUUCUCUAUCAGAAUUGUUUGAAGUAGCUAGAAGAUGAUUUUAUACACUGAAACUUUUAAUAGUUAUCUAUUCAAAUGUUAUAUCACAGACAGUGCAUGCUUUAUGAUCUUGGAC
rnacentral:lncRNA from 1 species